GACGAACGCUGGCGGCGUGCUUAACACAUGCAAGUCGAACGGAAAGGCCCUGCUUUUGUGGGGUUCUCGAGUGGCGAACGGGUGAGUAACACGUGAGUAACCUGCCCUUGACUUUGGGAUAACUUCAGGAAACUGGGGCUAAUACCGGAUAGGAGCUCCUGCUGCAUGGUGGGGGUUGGAAAGUUUCGGCGGUUGGGGAUGGACUCGCGGCUUAUCAGCUUGUUGGUGGGGUAGUGGCUUACCAAGGCUUUGACGGGUAGCCGGCAGGAGAGGGUGAACGGCCACAAUGGGACUGAGAUACGGACCAGACUCCUACGGGAGGCAGCAGUGGGGAAUAUGGCACAAUGGGCGGAAGCCUGAUGAAGCAACGUCGCGUGCGGGAUGACGGCUUUCGGGUUGAAAACCGCUUUCGCCUGUGACGAAGCGUGAGUGACGGUAAUGAGUAAAGAAGCACCGGCUAACUACGUG
rnacentral:rRNA from 1 species